GAUGAACGCUGGCGGCGUGCCUAAUACAUGCAAGUCGAGCGAACAAAUGAGGAGCUUGCUCCUCUGACGUUAGCGGCGGACGGGUGAGUAACACGUGGAUAACCUACCUAUAAGACUGGGAUAACUUCGGGAAACCGGAGCUAAUACCGGAUAAUAUAUUGAACCGCAUGGUUCAAUAGUGAAAGACGGUUUUGCUGUCACUUAUAGAUGGAUCCGCGCCGCAUUAGCUAGUUGGUAAGGUAACGGCUUACCAAGGCGACGAUGCGUAGCCGACCUGAGAGGGUGAUCGGCCACACUGGAACUGAGACACGGUCCAGACUCCUACGGGAGGCAGCAGUAGGGAAUCUUCCGCAAUGGGCGAAAGCCUGACGGAGCAACGCCGCGUGAGUGAUGAAGGUCUUCGGAUCGUAAAACUCUGUUAUUAGGGAAGAACAAAUGUGUAAGUAACUAUGCACGUCUUGACGGUACCUAAUCAGAAAGCCACGGCUAACUACGUG
rnacentral:rRNA from 1 species